ACGUUGAUGGUGAAAUGGUUAUCAUCCUUGCCUUCCACUGACUGCUUACGUAAUCAAGAGAGCAAGGGGCGGGGGUUCGAUUCCCCCUCAACGUA
rnacentral:tRNA from 1 species